GACGAACGCUGGCGGCGUGCUUAACACAUGCAAGUCGAACGGUGAAGGGACUGGUUUUGCUGGUCCUGGAUGAGUGGCGACCGGGUGAGUAACACGUGAGUAACCUGCCCCCUUCUUCUGGAUAACCGCAUGAAAGUGUGGCUAAUACGGGAUAUUCUGGGUCUGUCGCAUGGUGGGCCUGGGAAAGAUUGCGCCUUUUUUGGUGUUUUUGGUGGGGGAUGGGCUCGCGGCCUAUCAGCUUGUUGGUGGGGUGAUGGCCUACCAAGGCGGUGACGGGUAGCCGGCCUGAGAGGGUGGACGGUCACACUGGGACUGAGACACGGCCCAGACUCCUACGGGAGGCAGCAGUGGGGAAUAUUGCACAAUGGGCGCAAGCCUGAUGCAGCGACGCCGCGUGAGGGAUGGAGGCCUUCGGGUUGUGAACCUCUUUCGCCAGUGAAGCAGGCCUGCCUCUUUUUGUGGGUGGGUUGACGGUAGCUGGAGAAGAAGCGCCGGCUAACUACGUG
rnacentral:rRNA from 1 species